rnacentral:tRNA from 1 species
GGAGAUUUAUUUUAUUUAAAAUAUAAAUUUUGCGUAUUUAAGAAUUUGUUUCC